GUGCCAGCAGCCGCGGUAAUACGUAGGGUCCGAGCGUUAAUCGGAAUUACUGGGCGUAAAGCGUGCGCAGGCGGUUUUGUAAGCCAGAUGUGAAAUCCCCGGGCUUAACCUGGGAACUGCAUUUGGGACUGCAAGGCUGGAGUACGGCAGAGGGAGGUGGAAUUCCAGGUGUAGCAGUGAAAUGCGUAGAGAUCUGGAGGAACACCGAUGGCGAAGGCAGCCUCCUGGGCUAGUACUGACGCUCAUGCACGAAAGCGUGGGGAGCAAACAGGAUUAGAUACCCUGGUAGUCCACGCCCUAAACGAUGACGACUAGUUGUUGGGGAUUUAACAUCCUUAGUAACGUAGCUAACGCGUGAAGUCGUCCGCCUGGGGAGUACGGUCGCAAGAUUAAA
rnacentral:rRNA from 1 species